GCUUUACCUUUUGGCUCAUUUCAGCCUUGUGGUUGGUCGGCGUUGCACCUCGGAUACCGGCUGGGGAAAAAAACUUUUCAAAGGAGUUUCGUGUUUUUCUGGAUUAUUUCACUUCUGAUAACUAGCAGUUUAACCUCAGAUAAUGUUGUCGUCGUAAAUCUUGUGAGGAGUUCAGCUUACCAGGUGCGGAUUAGACAGCUGGCCAUAAAAUACAAAAGCCCACUCUGGAGCAACUGGUCGCCAUUCCUUACAGUUCCUGCAGCGCUUGAUCGUAAACUUGAAGUUGAUCACACAAGCAGACUUACAAACGGCACUCGGCAGCGUGCGUCCCAAUAAAUCAUUAUCAGAAGUUCUACCUGUCUGCCUGUUUCCUCCCCGGUCUGGAUCCACGCCUUUCCUCCGCUCCACUCCGCGCACGUCGUGACAAGGUGACACUGACUUGGAAGUUUGUGACCAAACAUUACUGAACGAAAAGCUAAAGAGGAGAACUUGUCUUGAGCUGUUUGAGCUUCAGGAUGCAGAUUUAAAUCCAGAAAGUGUCAUCGUAUAAACAGCUAGGAAACAGAAGAAAGGAGAGGGAAUUAAAAGCAGUAAGUAUCAAUUAAUUCUGUUUAUUCUGAUCAUCAUUCAAAUGUACACCAAACCUCAUUGAUAAUUCCAGACGUUUAGGACAACAUUUUGAACUUUUGACCUCAUGUUGAUGAGCUAGUGUGGGAUCCGGGGUGGCUGUAGUUGCCAGUAACACACAACGCCACCUGGGGAGUUACACCCCAGGAAAUAAAGACACACAGGUCCACUCAGAUCAGGCAGGAGACGUGGUCUGACCAAUAACAUGCUUUCAUUAAAAUAUAAAAGAAAAAGAAAAGAGACUAAAUUAACUUGAACAGGCUGAAGCUUACCAGAGUCCAAUUCAGCCAGCUAAAAAAUACACACCAAACCAAACUAAAGUCACCCGUCACAGUGCCAUGCAUCCAGGAGGUGCACGGUGAAGGAACACACACACACAUGCAUGGAAAACUCUCGCCCCCAAGGCCGAUGGUACCCCACUGGGAGUAAACAGCCUGCAAUAAAAGAAAGAAACUGUUAAAAACAAAACCAACAAACAGUUGGCUUAACGGAUUAUAAAAAGAUAGCCUGCCAGUUCACCAGCCAGGAGUUGCAGACUGUCUAAAAUACAUAAAAAAUAAAAGUAAAUCAUUAAUUUAAAAAGAACAAUCAGUCUCACUCAGAUGCGUGCCAGACAGGGGUGGACUGGCCUGUCUGGCAU